ensembl:lncRNA
UAUUCUAUUACUCUUGUUCUCUUCUGCUUGCUUUCUUUUUUCUUUCUCAGCAGGUGACCCAGGUGAUUGAUAUAUGCAUUUUUUUUUCUCUGCCCGUUCUGUUGGUUUUUGUCUUUUGCCCUUCUCCCCCGUCCCUCUUCUCAGCUGUUUCUCUUUCCCUCUUUCUUUCUCCCCUUCUUUCCCCCAGUCAAGUCUGUCCCGUAUUCAGUAAGUGAAAAUAAAAUAAACAAUAAAAGGUGAAUCAAAUGGACCAUUACGGCAAGGCUGGGAUGGUCAGUUUGGUAAAGUAAAUCCGUUGGGCAUCUUUCUUUGCCUUUAGACAACAAUUCUGAGGGCAAAAGAGCCAAACGGGACAGGCCAAAAAAAAAAAAAAGAAGGAGUGAAAACUCAAGACUCAUUUCUGUGCUUGUGAUGCUAGACCUCAGGCCCCUCUUCUGGACAAAUCAGAUUGUAGUUUGGAUGUGGGAUACUUUCUGUUAAAGAUACUCAAAACUUCCCUUUUUGAUUAAGGUUAUAGUUAGUGCUGAAACAGUUGACUCUGAACCCUCCUUUGAUUAUGCAGUAAUAGGCCUAGGCUGCUGGAUGUUUCUCAUGAUGCACUGAGCGGUUCUUCUUUUUUUUUUCUUUUCACUGUCUGUUCUUACACUACAUUGCAUUUAAUCAUUAGUAAUAAUUAAUCUCUGUCUCUCUUCCACAAUGUGGCUUUUGUACCGUCUCCCUCCCCUCAGCUCCAACCAGUCGUGGCAGAUGACUGCCCCUCCUUGUGCCUGGUUCUGCCAGAGGUUUCUUCCUGUUUAGAGAGAGUUUUCCUUCCCACUGUCACUGAGUGCAUGCUCAUAGUGGAUCAUCUGCUUUUGGAGGUUUCUCUUUAACUGUAUGAUAUGUUUACCUUAUAUAAAGGACCUGUUAUUGUGAUUUGACUUUAUAUCAAUAAAAUAUAACUUGCUGAAAUAAACUGAACUAACUGAAUGAUGUACCCUUGGCAGAUAAAGGAUAAAGGCAGCUUUUCAGGAGAAAAAUGGUAUUAAAAAAAUCUUAUAUCAGUUGUCCUGUAUGGCAGUAUCAGUUCUGUGACAGUUAAUAUUGGACUAUAAGAGGACAUGUCAAAAGGAUAAUGAU